GAAUAACUAUGGUGUCUUGGUUGUAGCUGGCUCCUCGGAGCAAUGUGCACGCCCGCCAUUUUUAUCUUUCCACCUGUGCACCGACUGUAGGUCUGGAUGACUCUCGUACUCCGGUGCGGAUGCGAGGAUUGCUCUCGGGCUCUCCUCGAAUUUCCAGGCUCUACGUCUUUUUACACACCCCAAACGUAUGAUACAGAAUGUAGUCAAUGGGCUUGAUCGCCUAUAAAACACUAUACAACUUUCAGCAACGGAUCUCUUGGCUCU
rnacentral:misc_RNA from 1 species